ensembl:snRNA U2 U2 spliceosomal RNA
CUUUCUCCUUGGCCUUUUGGCUAAGAUCAAGUGUAGCGUGUGUUUUAUCAGUUUCAUAUCUGAUACAGCUGUUAUCCAAGGGCAAUAUAUUAAAUGGAUUUUUGGAGCAGGGAGUUGGAAUAGGAACUUGCU